UUCUUAACCUAAAUAAACACACACAAUUACACAUUUUCAGCACACACACAUGCGCCUCUCAUCUCUCUCUCGGACCUCUCCCGACUCUCUCUGCUCUCUCUCUGAUCGGUCGAGUGCGGCGCCGCCUCCGGCGCGCCGCCUCGCCGGACGUCUCGCCUCUCCCUCUCACCCCCUCGGUCUCCUCUUCUCACUGACUCACACACACACGCACGCAGACACGGCGAAAGCCGCGCCGCCGCGUCGUCCUCCCCUUCGCCGGUGGACAGACGGCCAGGAGCCGCCACCGUCGCCGGAGAGCCAGGUAAAACCCUAACUUUUUUUCAUUUUCCCCUUCUUUCCUUUUUAGAUUAAAACUGAAAACUCCUCUCUCUCUCUUUUGAUUUGGCUGAAUCGGAGCAACGGCGACGUCACGGCUGUCACGUUACCGCCGCCGCCGCCGACGACGAGCCACCAUGGCUCCGCCGCUGACCGCCGUCUGAAAACAGAUCGGAAGCCACCGCGGCUCCGUCGCCGUCCGUUGACCGCCGGCGACGACGAGUCACCAAGGCUGCCGCCUCCCUCUGAUCUCGACUCACACACACAAGGCAGGGUCAGCCCCCCCUUCAAAGGUUUCAAGCCUCAAAUUCAGUCGAACACUUAGCACAUAGGAUUUGAGCAAAAAUCAAAUACUGUAAAUUUCAGUUCAUACGUUAAUACAUGUAAAUUUUUCUUUUGGAUCAUUCUCGUUUGGUGGUUCUCUGAUAUAUUGGAUAAAAGGGGAAUACCUUGAAUA